AACUGCAAGCCAAGGAGAGAGACCUCAGGAGAACCAACCUUGUCCACACCUCAACCUUGGACUUCCAGCCUCCAGGGCGGAGAGAGGACAGAUGUCCACUGAUGAAGCCCCGGUCUGCAGCCCUAGCCAGCUAACACACCUUCUCCUCUCAUCAGCCGUCCAGGCUGCCCCGCUCUGCUUCCUAAACAUCUCCGAGGACUCAGAUCUCUCACAGCAGACAACUUUCAAGAAAUACAACUGAGGCCCCAACAGCACAGAACUCAUGCCUCCUAAAGGUCUGCUCUAAAUCCAGGAUGGCCUCAUUUUGAUAUCCUUGACAAAUUAAAUCUGCAGAUUCUACUUCCAA